GAUGAACGCUGGCGGCGUGCCUAACACAUGCAAGUCGAGCGAUUCUCUUCGGAGAAGAGCGGCGGACGGGUGAGUAACGCGUGGGUAACCUGCCCUGUACACACGGAUAACAUACCGAAAGGUAUGCUAAUACGAGAUAAUAUGCUUUUAUCGCAUGGUAGAAGUAUCAAAGCUUCGGCGGUACAGGAUGGACCCGCGUCUGAUUAGCUAGUUGGUAAGGUAACGGCUUACCAAGGCGACGAUCAGUAGCCGACCUGAGAGGGUGAUCGGCCACAUUGGAACUGAGACACGGUCCAAACUCCUACGGGAGGCAGCAGUGGGGAAUAUUGCACAAUGGGCGAAAGCCUGAUGCAGCAACGCCGCGUGAGCGAUGAAGGCCUUCGGGUCGUAAGGCUCUGUCCUCAAGGAAGAUAAUGACGGUACUUGAGGAGGAAGCCCCGGCUAACUACAUGCCAGCCGCCGCCGUAAUAC
rnacentral:rRNA from 1 species